GAUGAACGCUGGCGGCGUGCUUAAUACAUGCAAGUCGAGCGAACGGAUGAGAAGCUUGCUUCUCGGAUGUUAGCGGCGGACGGGGGAGUAACACGUGGAUAACCUACCUAUAAGACUGGGAUAACUUCGGGAAACCGGAGCUAAUACCGGAUAAUAUUUUGAACCGCAUGGUUCAAAAGUGAAAGACGGUCUUGCUGUCACUUAUAGAUGGAUCCGCGCUGCAUUAGCUAGUUGGUAAGGUAACGGCUUACCAAGGCAGCGAUGCAUAGCCGACCUGAGAGGGUGAUCGACCGCACUGGAGCUGAGGCGCCGUCCAGCCUCCUACGGGAGGCAGCAGUAGGGAAUCUUCCGCAAUAGGCGGGAGCCUGACGGAGCAGCGCCGCGUGAGUGGUGAAGGUCUUCGGAUCGUGAAGCUCUGUUAUUAGGGGAGAACAUAUGUGUAAGUAACUGUGCACAUCUUGACGGUACCUGAUCAGAAAGCCACGGCUAACUACGUG
rnacentral:rRNA from 1 species